rnacentral:rRNA from 1 species
GACGAACGCUGGCGGCGUGCUUAACACAUGCAAGUCGAACGGAAAGGCCCUGCUUUUGUGGGGUGCUCGAGUGGCGAACGGGUGAGUAACACGUGAGUAACCUGCCCUUGACUUUGGGAUAACUUCAGGAAACUGGGGCUAAUACCGGAUAGGAGCUCCUGCUGCAUGGUGGGGGUUGGAAAGUUUCGGCGGUUGGGGAUGGACUCGCGGCUUAUCAGCUUGUUGGUGGGGUAGUGGCUUACCAAGGCUUUGACGGGUAGCCGGCCUGAGAGGGUGACCGGCCACAUUGGGACUGAGAUACGGCCCAGACUCCUACGGGAGGCAGCAGUGGGGAAGAUUGCACAAUGGGCGGAAGCCUGAUGCAGCAACGCAGCGUGCGGGAUGACGGCCUUCGGGUUGUAAACCGCUUUCGCCUGUGACGAAGCGUGAGUGACGGGAAUGGGUAAAGAAGCACCGGCUAACUACGUG